rnacentral:rRNA from 1 species
CCUACGGGCGGCUGCAGUGGGGAAUAUUGCACAAUGGGCGCAAGCCUGAUGCAGCCAUGCCGCGUGUGUGAAGAAGGCCUUCGGGUUGUAAAGCACUUUCAGCGGGGAGGAAGGCGUUAAGGUUAAUAACCUUGGCGAUUGACGUUACCCGCAGAAGAAGCACCGGCUAACUCCGUGCCAGCAGCCGCGGUAAUACGGAGGGUGCAAGCGUUAAUCGGAAUUACUGGGCGUAAAGCGCACGCAGGCGGUCUGUCAAGUCGGAUGUGAAAUCCCCGGGCUCAACCUGGGAACUGCAUUCGAAACUGGCAGGCUAGAGUCUUGUAGAGGGGGGUAGAAUUCCAGGUGUAGCGGUGAAAUGCGUAGAGAUCUGGAGGAAUACCGGUGGCGAAGGCGACCACCUGGACAAAGACUGACGCUCAGGUGCGAAAGCGUGGGGAGCAAACAGGAUUAGAUACCCGAGUAGUC